rnacentral:rRNA from 1 species
AUGGUCCCGUCCUCCUCUCCUCCCCGUACAUCUCCCAGCGCCGAGUUCGCUGCCUUAGCUGCUCUCCCCACUACCAGCACGCCGUCGACGGCCAACCGGGCCGCCGCACGCAGGAAGGAAGAGCAGCAGCAGCCGGGACGAGGGCGGGGGGCGUCUCCUUCUCCCCACCCCCUUGGCGCUCAGCAAGAGGGGCGCUGCUCGCCGCCCGGCCUCACGAGAGUGGUCGCCGCCCCGCCGUCUUCGGAUCUGGCCGCCGCCGCCAUCUCUAUUCUUGCCCCGUCGUUCUUUCGGUGCCGGGUGGAUGGGUGUCAUGGUGAGUUCGCGGAUGGAAGCCGAGGCUGUGGGUUCCAGUUCAAGGCAAGGGCCAGCGGCACCAAGCCGGCGCCCACCUUCCGGUGCGAGUUGCAGCUGCCCAAGGGUGAACAUGUCAGCUCCAUGGCCGUCAUCGCCAAGCUGCCCAGAGUAGGAGUGGCCUACAAACAUGAAUCCAAGCAGUCUGACAGGGGAGGAUACACCUCUCAUGAUGUUGUGUUCUUCAGUUUUGCAGGAACUGCACACAUAUCAAAUUCCAAUUGUACAUUCAUCUAUUGUUGUUCUCACGUUGCCUCAUCCGUGUCUUUCUUUCUAGACAACGCAAUAUUUUGUCAAGAACAUUGUCAUUCCGGCGGUUGUAAUCAUGCAGACAGUGGGCUCAUUUGUUUGCUGCUUGUGCUACUAGAGGCAAAUUAUGAAAGGGGCGACAGUCGAUGA